rnacentral:rRNA from 1 species
AGAGUUUGAUCCUGGCUCAGGAUGAACGCUGGCGGCGUGCUUAACACAUGCAAGUCGAACGGAAAGGCUCCUGCUUGCAGGGGUACUCGAGUGGCGAACGGGUGAGUAACACGUGGGUGAUCUGCCCUGCACUUCGGGAUAAGCCUGGGAAACUGGGUCUAAUACCGGAUAGGACCACAUUUUGGAUGGUGUGGUGGAAAGUUUUUCGGUGUGGGAUGAGCUCGCGGCCUAUCAGCUUGUUGGUGGGGUAAUGGCCUACCAAGGCGUCGACGGGUAGCCGGCCUGAGAGGGUGUACGGCCACAUUGGGACUGAGAUACGGCCCAGACUCCUACGGGAGGCAGCAGUGGGGAAUAUUGCACAAUGGGCGCAAGCCUGAUGCAGCGACGCCGCGUGGGGGAUGACGGCCUUCGGGUUGUAAACUCCUUUCGCUAGGGACGAAGCGUUAUGUGACGGUACCUGGAGAAGAAGCACCGGCUAACUACGUG